CUCUGGACUAACCAAAAGGGCAUACGUAUUAGGGUGCACCUGUGAGACAAGAUCACAUGCAUACAAUAAUUACGUACGUAUACACACCUUUAGCAAGUGGGAAAACUACUGAAUCCAACCAAUAUUACUUUUACUUACUUGUAAUU